rnacentral:rRNA from 1 species
CCGCCCGUCACACCAUGGAAGUGUAUUGCACCAGAAGCAGGUAGCCUGACCCGCAAGGAGGGCGCCUACCACGGUGUGGUCCAUGACUGGGGUG